rnacentral:rRNA from 1 species
UACAGAGGCCCCAAGCGUUACUGAGAAUCACUGGGUUUAAAGGGUGCGUAGGUGGCGCGUUAAGUCCGUUGUGAAAUCCCUGGGCUCAACCCAGGAAUUGCUUCGGGAUACUGGCGUGCUUGAGGCCGGUAGGGGUCACUGGAACUGACGGUGGAGCGGUGAAAUGCGUAGAUAUCGUCAGGAACGCCGAUGGUGAAGACAGGUGACUGGGCCGGGAACUGACACUG